rfam:Pteropus alecto contig18328, whole genome shotgun sequence.
GUCUACUGCCAUGCCACCCUGAACACACCUAAUCCCGUCUGAUCUAAGAAGCUAAGCAGGGUUGGGCCUGGUUAGUACUUGGAUGGGAGACCACCUAGGAAGACCAGGUACUGUAGGCA